rnacentral:rRNA from 1 species
GACGAACGCUGGCGGCGUGCUUAACACAUGCAAGUCGAACGGUAAGGCCCUUCGGGGUACACGAGUGGCGAACGGGUGAGUAACACGUGGGUGAUCUGCCCUGCACUUCGGGAUAAGCCUGGGAAACUGGGUCUAAUACCGGAUAGGACCACUGCCUGCAUGGGUGGUGGUGGAAAGCUUUUGCGGUGUGGGAUGGGCCCGCGGCCUAUCAGCUUGUUGGUGGGGUGAUGGCCUACCAAGGCGACGACGGGUAGCCGGCCUGAGAGGGUGACCGGGCACACUGGGACUGAGAUACAGCCCAGACUCCUACGGGAGGCAGCAGUGGGGAAUAUUGCACAAUGGGCGCAAGCCUGAUGCAGCGACGCCGCGUGAGGGAUGAUGGCCUUCGGGUUGUAAACCUCUUUCAGCACCGACGAAGCGCAAGUGACGGUAGGUGCAGAAGAAGGACCGGCCAACUACGUGCCAGCCGCCGCAGUAA